rnacentral:rRNA from 1 species
UACAUGUGGGGCAAGCGUUGUUCGGAAUUACUGGGCAUAAAGGGUGCGUAGGUGGCUUGUUAAGUCAGGGGUGAAAGUUUUCGGCCCAACCGGAAAAUGGCCUUUGAUACUGGCGAGCUCGAGUGCGUGAGGGGUAACCGGAACGAGCAGUGUAGCGGUGAAAUGCGUAGAUAUCAGGAGGAACACCGGUGGCGAAGGCGGAUCUCUGGGCCGAUACUGACGCUGAGGAGCGAAAGCGUGGGGAGCGAACAGG